rnacentral:rRNA from 1 species
AGUCUAUUCAGAGGAACCUGUUUUAUAAUCGAUAAUCCGCGAUGGACCUUACUUGAAUUUGUAAUCAGUUUAUAUACCGUCGUUAUUAGAAUAUUUUAUAAGAAUGUUAAUUUUCAUAAUUUUAAAGAAGAAAAUAUAUCAGAUCAAGGUGUAGCUUAUAUUUAAGUAAAAAUGGGUUACAAUAAAAUUAUUUAAAUGGAUAUAAAUGUGAAAUAUUUAUUGAAGGUGGAUUUGAUAGUAAAGUUAUAAAGAUUAAUAAUUUGAUUUUAGCUCUAAAAUAUGCACAUAUCGCCCGUCACUCUUAUUAUUAAGGUAAGAUAAGUCGUAACAUAGUAGAUGUACUGGAAAGUGUAUCUAGAAUGCAAUUUAAAGCUUAUUUAGUAAAGUAUUUCAUUUACAUUGAAGGGAUUUUUGUGCAAAUCAAUAUAAAUUGAUUUAUAUUUUAUUUAUUAAUUUAUAUUUUUUUUAGAAGUGAAUUAUUAAAAAUAAUUAUAAAUUAAUUUGUUUUAGUAUUUAAUAAAGAAAAAAUAAUUUUAAUUAUAGUGUAUUAGUAU